rnacentral:lncRNA from 1 species
UUUCUGAUAGUGUCCUACCUUGUUAUAGAAACGACAUGUAUCUGCCUUAUGUUCCUUGUUAGCAUCCUAUUGACCUUUAGCAUGUGCUUUCUUCUUCUUGAACUUGUUGGCCUUCACUUUAAGUCCUUUACCAACUCCUUGACCCAUGAGGUUAAUUCAAUGACUCCCUUAUUUCUUAAGUCUUGACUCCUCCUGAAUAAGCAUACUGGACAAUUCACUAACAUUCCAGUCUUAUUGAAUGACUCCCUAGUUUCUUAAGUCUUAACUCCUCCUGAGUAAGCAUACUGGACAAUUCACUAACAUUCUACUUAUCUUUAAUAGUGUUAUAGUUAAUUUGAAAAGCUCCACACUCAUGAGGUAAGGAGUUCAGAAUAAACGGAACCAAUAAGGAGUCAUCCACUUUCAUCUCCAAUGUCUGAAGUUUUGCUGUAAUGUUAGUCAUCUCGAUGAUAUGAUUUUGCAUACUACGCGACCCAUCAAACUUCAUGAUCGUGACUUCAGCCAUUAGUGUACCGGCGAGAGACUUAUCUGCAAAAGAAAACGUUCUUCCACAAACUUCAAGUAUUCCCUGGCACUUUCUGUUUGUGGAAAAGUAUUCUUGAUGUUGUUGGCAAUAUUCAUUCGCAUAAACAUAAGCUUAGUCUAUUAGAGCGUUCCCAUGCUUUGUAGAAAGACUUCUCAUCCGCACGGCUCGAAUCAGUAAUGGCAGCGGGCUUAUCAUUCAGCAGAGCCAAGUCAAGAUCCAUCAAACCUAAGUGGAACUGGACUUGUGCACGCCAUUCAGAGAAGUUCAAUCCAUUGAACACAGUAACAGAUGAAGCAAGCGAAUGAAAAGGAAUAGCUGCAAAUUAGAUAAUACAUGCUCACAAAUUA